AAGAAGGCCGGAAGGUUGUAAAGUCCUUUUGCAGAUGAAGAAUAAGGUGAGGAGGGAAUGCCUCAUCGAUGACGUUAGUUUGUGAAUAAGCCCCGGCUAAUUACGUGCCAGCAGCCGCGGUAAUACGUAUGGGGCAAGCGUUGUCCGGAUUUACUGGGCGUAAAGGGCGCGUAGGCGGUUUGUUAAGUCGAAGGUGAAAUCCUCGGGCUCAACUCGAGAAUUGCCUUCGAUACUGGCAAACUAGAGUGGCGGAGAGGAAAGCGGAACUCUUGGUGUAACGGUGGAAUGUGUAGAUAUCAAGAGGAACACCGGUGGCGAAGGCGGCUUUCUGGACGCACACUGACGCUCAGGCGCGAAAGCGUGGGUAGCAAACAGGAUUAGAUACCCUGGUAGUCCACGCCAUAAACGAUGGGUACUAGGUGUCGGGGGUAUCGACCCCUCCGGUGCCGCAGUUAACGCACUAAGUACCCCGCCUGGGGAUUAUGGUCGCAAGGCUGAAACUCAAAGGAAUUGACGGGGCCCCGCACAAGCGGUGGAGCAUGUGGUUUAAUUCGACGCAACGCGAAGAACCUUACCUGGGCUUGACAUGCUUGGGACAGCGCUGGAAACAGCGUCUCUCCUUCGGGAGCCCUUGCACAGGUGCUGCAUGGCUGUCGUCAGCUCGUGUCGUGAGAUGUUGGGUUAAGUCCCGCAACGAGCGCAACCCUCGUUACUAGUUGCCAUCAGUUCGGCUGGGCACUCUAGUGAGACUGCCGGUGAUAAACCGGAGGAAGGUGAGGAUGAUGUCAAGUCAUCAUGGCCCUUACGCCCAGGGCUACACACGUGCUACAAUGGUCGGCACAAAGGGUCGCUAAGCCGCGAGGUGGAGCUAAUCCCAAAAAGCCGGCCUCAGUUCGGAUUGGAGUCUGCAACCCGACUCCAUGAAGGCGGAAUCGCUAGUAAU
rnacentral:rRNA from 1 species